UGGGGAUAUCUACUAUGACCAAAGGCAACAAAUUGAUAGGUUCGAGAACUUUUAUGAGGAGCAAGGCCAACGCGUCGAUAGGCUCGGGAAUAUCUAUGAGACUAUGCAUGAGCAACACUCGCAUCAAUUGGCUGAAAUUGAUGCUCAACUCGUUCUCGUUCCUUUUGGGCUCAUCUUGUUCCUCCUUCACCUCCUCCACCGUUCGAUCCGGCAAACGCCCCUUCUCGGCCCCCUUCUAUCGUGACACACCUUAUUGAUGAUGCCCGAAAAUCAAGUGUUUUUUUUUGUCUCUAGUCUUUGAUUUUUGUUGUUGGUUAGUCAAAAGCUCAGUUUCUUUUAGAACAUUUUGUUUUAUUCGCCCAAUUUUUGUGUCAAAGCCAGUCAAGGCACUAGUUUCUUUUGUGGAUGUUUUUAAUGAACAGUUUUUUUCUAUGAGUUAUGCCUCUUUGCUUUACGUAUAUGAACUAUGAAUGCCAUGAUUUGCCAUGCAUACCAUGAAUGCCAUAUAAUAUGCCAAAUGAUUAGAUUUAAAAGGCUGUUAAUAAGCAUAAACUAAGGGGGAGUUUUGAUUAAGGGGGAGCUUUCAAAAUUUUAAACAAAACAACGAUUUUCAAAAAUAAAUUAUGUCAUCUCAAAAAGGGGAGAUUGUUGAAAUAAAAGUUUUAAUUUUAAUAAUUGUAAUUGUUUAAAACUAAGUCAAGACUAAACUUUAUUGAAAAUAAGUGUUACGAAGGAAAAACAAACAGUAAUCUAAAGAAUAUGCUUCAUAUGGCUUAAAAGGAGUUUUGAAAACUUUCGAAUCUUGAAAGACCACAGCCAAAGUAUAAAGAAUAAAGUCAAGUGCUCUCUAGAAAUUUAGUUCAUGGACGACCGAAGUUAAACUUCAAUUGACCAAAAGUUUAAAGAGCACAACGAACCAGCACAGAGCAUAGUCGAAUGCCAGAAACACUCAAAUUGGUUGAACAAACUUGCUCUCUAGAAAUUUAGUUAGAUGACGACCGAAAUUAAACUUCGUUCAACUAAAGUUUUGGAAAGUACGAUUGAAGUUCCUAAAAGCACAACCGAACUUAGAAGGCACAUCCGAAGUCUAAAGACAAAGCAGAGCAUUAGAAUUGCUCUCUAGAAUUCAAGAAUAUUGAUGACCGAACUUCAGGUUGACCAAAGUUCAAAUUAGGCACGACCAAACCUCAGAGAUGCAAAAUAGAGCAACAUAUUUGCUCACUGGAAUAUUAGGCAAAUGACGACCGAAGUUCACGACCGAAGUUUGAAUUUUCAAUUUGGCACGUCCAAAUCACUGAUCCAACAACUGAGAUUAAAUCAGAACGGCCAGUCCAGAGCAUUUAAUGCUACAACGAUUAUUUUCAUAUCCGGGUAUAUAAAAUCAACCCUGAAGGGUGUUGGGUACGUAUUGAAGUACCUUAAACGUAUUUUUUUUGCUAGUAUUCAAUACUUAAAUCCUUGAGCAUUCAUUGUAAGUUUUUGAUUGAGAUCAAAAACAAAUAGAAGUUAUACCACUUUAGAAAAGGAGAGCUUUCAUUAUAUUCAUUUUUCGGUCUAGAGUUGGUGAGUUACAAAUUUCUCAUUCAUUGUAUCCUAUUGAGAGAAUCACAUUGAGUGAUUGAAAAAGAUCCAAAGUAAAGACUCUUGAAGACUAGAAGAGUUCUAGUUGUGUAAAGGUUGGCAAAUACCCGCAAACUGUUAAAAAAUAUGAUAUCCCAAUAAGGUCUUGCAGAAGUGGGACGUGCAUCUGGUAUUUUCCAAACCACUAUCAAUAGUUUUGUCAACUCUCCUUAUCCAUUCUCUUUAUGCUUAUACAUAAUAUUUGAGCGAAGUGCAUAAAUUUUAAUUGGCCAUUAAUAGUAGAAAACCUAUUUUACCCCUUCAUAGUUUGUUUUCUAGCUAACAAUCAAAAAAAGAAAAGAAAAGUGAAAUGUAGAAUUGUAUGAGGAAGUGAUAGGAAAAAAAAAUAUUUUCAUGUAUUCUAACCAGAAUUAUUGUGAUUGGUGGCUCUUGUCGGAAAAAAUAGGAAACUUACUUUUCUCCAUUAGCCACAAUCCACAAGCUUAUUAUCCCUUCCAUUCUUCAACUCUCUAUGAAUAUAUACUUUAUAAAGUCGAGUGAUUUUCAUGAUUCUCUUUUCUUCAAUUGCAUUUUAUUUAUUUAUUUUUUUAUUAGAAUUAAUUUACUCAAAUAUUCUUGAAUAAAGAAUUUGAGUAAAAGAGGUUGGGUAAUAUUAAAGAAACAAAGGAGUGCAAUUUACCCUGUUUAGUUUGAAAAUGGAAGAAAUUGCAUGGAAGUCAAGUGAUACCGCAUUAUUUGAAUGUAAUUUUCAAUGUUAAAAGUUUAUUUACUGUUAAAGUUUCUAUUAAUUCAAUGUGAUGCUCUGAAACGAUACAAUGAAAUCUUUCACAAAUCUCUUUAGUGUAUGUAAUAGUCUCUCUUCUUUAAUUCAUAAACUCGAGAUGAUAUUUUAUAUACCAAAAGACUUCUGAAGUCCAAA
rnacentral:lncRNA from 1 species